rnacentral:pre_miRNA from 1 species
UAGAUUUGUCCUAAGUCAAACCCAUCCAACUUCGACCAAACUUAUAAAAAAAAUAUAAUAACAUCCAUACUACCAAAUAUAUGCACUAUUGAAAUAUAUUUCAUAAUAAAUUCGAUGCGACAAAUUUGAUAUUGUAGAUAUUUUUGUAUUUUUCUAUAAACUUGAUCAAAGUUGGACAAGUUUGACUUGGAACGAACCUAA